UUCAAUAUUCACCAUUAGAUGAAAACCCGAUUAGACUCAAGCACCUCCAAAGAAAAACCAUUUUUUUCUUCAUCUUUCUGGAUCUGCUUGCUAUCUUAGAAAAACCAACAGAUUUUCAUGAAACAAAAAAAUCACUACCAUGAACUAGGAAGAAAGACCAUUAUCUCCUUCAUCUCUCCAGAUCCAUUCAUAUCAUUAUUUUCGAUCUAAAACCAUUUUCUUCAAUCUAAAUUAGGGUUUCAUUUGAUGCAACUUGGGUAGCUAAAAUCAGGCUUUGGAAGUGUAAGUUUCCCCCUUUUUUGUCUUUGUUCUCGUUGAUUUUGUUUGCUAGAGUUUUAAUCUCUUUCGAUUUCUGUUGUAGGAAGUUGUCAAUUAGAAGACCAAUUAUCAGUCUCAAUUGGAUUUUUCGAACAUCUUCAGGUUUGCCGAGGAUCAGAUAUUCAGUCAGAUACCAAGCAUACUUAUUACUGCCACAGGGUAGUAAAGACGGAGUUUCAUUAUGAAUUGAAUGAAUUUUUUAGUUCAAAGAUGGUGUGUGAUUGUUGUUCCCGUGAUGUCAAAAUUAAAUAGGUAUAUUUUGUGUCGACUCAGCCGAGCUUUCUCAAACUUGGCUCUAUAGGGCUGGUAUAUUUUUUUAGGAUGAUGUCCUGUGGCUGCUAGGUAAUAUUUGUUGUGGCGCCUGACCUAGUGGAGAAACAUUAUCUAUGAGUGGAAACAAGUGAACUCCUCACACUUUUGGGCUGGGGAGCUGGAACUGGAAAUCAACCCUUUAACAACUUGUUAAAAAGGUUACUAUUGAUGGUGUUAAAAAAAAUGGAGUUAUGGAGCCAUUUUUCAUGGAACAAGGCUAAGGCACAGGUAAGAGAGCUGAAUGAAACUGAGCAAUAUAAAGAGGAAACCCAUUUGGACAGAGAUGCAGUUGCCAUGGUGUUUUGAGUUGAUGAUAGGGGUUAUGUUCGAGGAAUGGAAGGUGGGAUAGCUAAGGCUGAAUUUCUUGCUUCUGCAGUUCCUAGAGAGCAGUUACGGCAGCAAGUGCUGAAGACUAGAAAUGUGGAAGACCGUGUUCUUAGUCUCGAGCUACUGAUGUCCUGCUUUACCAAGGCUGCCAUAAAUGAAUAUUACUUCACAAUUAAAGUACUCCAUUAUUAAGCAUGGGAUAAGUUCAUCAUAAUUGGAGUUUACGUUUGUGCCGUUGUAUCAAUGUUGGACAGAGGCAAGAAAAGAGAUUGACAUCAUAUUGGUACACCAUUAUGAAGUAGGAAUAAGUUCAUCAUCAUCAUCAGAGUUUAUAAUUUUGCCGUUUAAUCAAUAGUUUUUUAGUUCGUCUUUUUGUAAUCGAAUCGUAGAACUACAGGUUACAUUGGUUAGAACUACAGAUUUUAAUCCUCUGUGUAAUUUGAGACCAAUGAAUCAAUGAAUGUUAAAUUGAAUGAUUAUUUGUGUGCAAGUUUAAUUUGAUUCUCAUUUUUAUUU